GAGCACCAAGACAGUGCAUCGGUGUCUGAGUGAUGAGAAACGGGGGAAGUCUAGCCUUAUUAUCUCCAAACUCCCAGUCUCUCAAUGAGCAAAGAAAGACGGAGUGAAUGACACAGAUGGAGAAAGAAAGAGAGUGGACGAUAAAAACACACACCAGGAUUUGAAACGACAGCACUUGGGCCCGCAGAGCUUGACCAGAGGACAGGUUUGUUCCAGUGUAAUGGUGACAGAGUGCAUUCUAUUUGCAAGAACAGGUGUAUGGGCUAUUGUUUAAUAAGGUGUCUUUUUCUGUCUUUGAGCCCAGUUUAAAGCUGUUUAGGUCUGAUUUAUUCUAGAUUUGGUAGCAAAAGACAGUACACAAGCGUGUACAAUGAUUACUUCAUAAGUAGUAGUAUUUGUGAAAAGGAAUGACCAUCACUUUCUUCAUAAGAUGUUCCUGAUUGUCUAGAAAUCUGCUGCUAUAAGGAGCAUAGAUGACUCGUUUAUCACCUCUUAAUUCUAGCUCCUCUUUUUUGUGCACCCCCAAGUAAAGUGACAUGUCAAAAUGAGUAGGUACAUCAUUACUUCAUGGAUAUCUGACCAGUACUUACACCUUUUUUGUAGCCCAAGUAAAGUGAAGCAUUAUACUGAGUAGCUUCUCAUUACUCUGUGAUUAUCUGACCAUUGCCUCUAAAGUAGUGUGAUACCUCAUAUUGAGCAGUUAGGCUACUAAGAAGUUCUUCAUUACUCAAUAAUUAUGAGUAUUUGGCUUGGAAUUCACAAGUAAUAAAUAAAUAGCAAACAAGAACCAACAUUAUUUAUUCAUCAUACUCAGUCCACAUACGUACAGUACAUAAGCUGUCACAUCCAUACGACACCAAUUCCUUAGAAACAAAGAAGCAGGUGAAAUGAAUGAGGGAGGACUUAGUAAAGUCCUCAUGGUAUUACUGACUGAGUGUUUGGAUGUGAAUAUUAUUGUAUGUGCUCAGGAUAUGAUGAUUACAAAAUGUGAGAAUCCUGCUGUCUCUGGUUUGUUACUGUGAAUUCCUUUGUUAAAAAGAAAAACUGCAUUUUACUACUCCCAGUUUGUACUAUUAGUUUUGUAUGAUGAUGCACAAAGGGUUAAGUCAUGGUCAGAUAAUCAUGAAGUAAUGAGGGAUUACUCAGUAUGAUGCUUCACUUUACAUGGGGGUUACGUAAAAAAUGUAAGUAAUGGUCAGAUAACCGUGAAGUAAUGGGGAGCUAUGUAAUAAUUGCUCAGUUUGAUGAGUCAUUUUACUUGGGUUUUAUUUUGACAUUAGUUCAUGUGUUUUGCCAUCCUCAGUUUUACUUGGUCUUUGAAUAACCUCUAUUGUGUUUCCUGUUAUACUGCUUAUUUUGCAUUGUUUGCACUAUAUGUUGCAUGUUAAUACUGC